UUCCCGCCUAUAUACCGCCGUCGUCAGCCUACCCUGUGAAGGCCUAAUAGUUAGCAAAACUAGCACAACCCAAAACGCCAGGUCGAGGUGUAGCACAUGAGAGGGAUAGAAAUGGGCUACACUCCCUUGACAAAGGGAAUACGAAUAGUAUGCUGAAACACAUACAUUGAAGGAGGAUUUAGUAGUAAGCAGAAAAUAGAGUGUUCUGCUGAAUCCGGCCCUAAAGCGCGCACACACCGCCCGUCACUCUCCCCAAGCGACCCGCCCAAAUUAAUAAUAAACCACCACUGCAAAGGGGAGACAAGUCGUAACAUGGUAAGUGUACCGGAAGGUGCACUUGGAAAAAC
rnacentral:rRNA from 1 species